GCCUGCAGCCUCAGCCCGCCGUCGCGCGCCGCCCCUGCCCCGCACCCCCUGCAGGCCCCGGGAGGCUCUCCAAGGUCGGAACGCCGCCUGGGCAGCCGGGCUUCUGCGCCCGCCCUUGCUCUGGUGCCGACACACGGCCUCAGAACCUCUCACCCGCACUGCUUGGGACAACCGAGCAGGUUUACCAACGGCUUGAGCCUGUAAUAGAUGUCAGUUAGUUCACCUGUACUUCUCAGGGUCCGAUGAGCUCAAGUGCUCUUGAUGCCAACUGAUGGAGAGCAGCUCAGUGCCUUGGUUAUGCAAGCGAAGCCUCCGGUAACUGUGUAACCGCCACUGUGUGACUUGUUACUGACUCCAUUUUUCAGAUGAGGAAACUAACGCACAGGAUGUAUCAUUUUCCCAAAGCCACAUUGCAGGGUAGUUGGGGUGCGGAGGUAGGAUUUGAAUUUAGGCGUAACUGGCUCGCAAGCUUUGUGCUUUCCAUCAUUAUUGCGAUGGGAUGGGUUCCAGCAAAGUCGCCCUUCCAAGGGAGCAAUCUGGUGUGUAGAUGCGAACCUUCCUGAAGUAUCUGCACAGCAUGUGGUCUAAGGAAAUGCCAGAGAUACAGAGCCCAGGGACUUCAGUCUUCACCCCAGGCACCUAACAAUGAAGCAACCUUGAACUGCCAGCCCACCACCCUGGGAUAAAGUGGACACUGGGACAUCUCACAGGACAUGGGGCUGGGUCAGAACCAAGUUUGGUCUCAAGUUGGGAAGGCAAGACGCUAUUGAACAGAUCUGGGUCAAGCUCACUCUGAGAAGCACUAGAUCUGUGCUACACACUUGAAUAAUGCAAAGACCCCUGGUUAAACACUCAUGGAGGGAGUUUUCUGGUGGUCCUGUCGUUAGAAAUCUGCCUUGCAAUGAAGGGGACACCAAUUCAAUCGCUCAUGCUGGAAGAUCCCACUUUCCCCGGGAGGGGGGGCGGGGGCACAACUAAGCCUCUGCAUGGCAGUUACUGAACCAGUGGGUCCUGGAGCAGGUGCUCCACAACAAGAGCAACCCGUACUCCAAGGAAGAGUAGCCCCUGCCCACCGCAAGUAGAGAAAGCCUGCUCAAAACAACCGAAGACCCUCCACAGCCAAUAAGUAAGUAAAUCUUAGGGGGGAAAAAAAAGCCUUUCAGUUAGGAAAUGUCGCUGCAAAAGAGAAACGGUAGUUAUAUUUAAAAAUGAAUAUUAAAAUCAUAUCAUUAAAAAUCCCAAGCUUGGCUUCCU
rnacentral:lncRNA from 1 species